rnacentral:rRNA from 1 species
UAGAAGAAAUUAUAGCGUUAUAUUAAAAUAUAAAUUUUUUUUGUUAAAGUUGUGUAAAAUAUUAUGCAGGAUUGUGAUUUAAUAGUAAUAUUUAUUAAAAUAAGUAAUUUUCAUGAGUAAAUACUGAGAAGGGAAGUUGAAGUAGAAGUUAAAUAUUAAUGGUGGGGGAGAAUUAUUAUUAUAAGUACCUUUUGUAUUAUGGGUGGUUAAAAAAAUUAAAGUGUUUAGUUUCUUUAUUAACGAAGUAGAGUGAGCUACCCUUUUCUUUAAAAUUGAUAAUAUCUCUUAUUGUAGAAUAAAUUAAGGGAAGAGAGAAAGGUAGAAGUGAAAUGCUUAUCGAACUCUAGGAUAGCUUUUUCUUAAGGAAGUAGGUGUUAGCUUACUUAAAAUUCUUUUUAAUUUAAGAAGAUUGGUUGACCAGUCUUCUUUUUGGGAAAAACCUUGUUAAUCUAAGGAAAACUACUAAUAAAGAAGUUAAUAGGUCAGAAUAAGUAGAUUUUGAGUAAAUCACUUUGGAAGUGUGUUUGAACUUUUUUUGGAGGACUUAUGAGAAUGAAUGAGGUUUUUAGUUGGUCUUGUUUAAGGUUUACUUAAGUGAUUCUAUUUUAGAAUACAAUUAUGGUUAUAUUAGUAAGUUUUUGUUCAAUUUAAAUAGUUAAAGAAUUAAAAGGGAAGUUGCAAUUACUUUUUAGUAAAAUAUAUUCUUAUUUUAGAGGACAAAAGAGUUUAAAAAAUGUAAAAAGGAACUCGGCAAAUAAGUUUCUCGCCUGUUUACCUAAAACAUCGCCUUUGGAAAAGAUCAUAGGUCCUGCCUGCCCGGUGAUUUUUAGAAUUAAACGGCUGCGGUACUCUGACCGUGCAAAGGUAGCAUAAUCAUUAGCCUGCUAAUUUCAGGCUGGAAUCAAUGGCAAGACGAAGAAAAAGCUGUCUCUUUACAUUUUAUUUGAAUUUUUCGUUUUGGUUAAGAGACCAAGAUAAUUUAGUGGGACGAGAAGACCCUAUUGAGCUUUAAUUUUAAAUUAGUGGAAGAGUCUAGUAUUAGGUUUUGGUUGGGGCAACGGUUUUUUUAAUUAGACAAAAGGGAUAGAGAAAUGAAUUAAUUCUUGUUUUGACCCAAGUGACAUAUUUUGGUAAAUAGAAAAAGUUACCAUAGGGAUAACAGCGUAAUUCUUUUUGAGAGUACUUAUUGACAAAAGAGUUUGCGACCUCGAUGUUGGAUCAGGUUUACCUAGAGGUGCAGCAGCUUCUAAGGGUUGGUUUGUUCAACCAUAAAAAACUUACGUGAUCUGAGUUCAGUCCGUUGUAAAACAGGACAGUUUCUAUCUACUAUUUUCCUUUUUCUUGUACGAAAGGACUUUGGAAGGAGAAAUAAAUUUUAAAGAAUUUUUCUUUGGGCUAUUUGUAUAAUAAAAAGAAUUAGUAAA